AGAACGAACGCUGGCGGCGCGCCUAACACAUGCAAGUCGAGCGCCUCACUUUCGGGUGGGGAGCGGCGCACGGGUGAGUAAUGCGUGGGAACCUACCAUGGGGUUCGGGACAACGGCGGGAAACUGCCGCUAACACCGGAUACGGCCGUAGCAAUACGGCGAAAGGUUACGCCCUGUGAUGGGCCCACGUCCGAUUAGCUUGUUGGUGAGGUAACGGCCCACCAAGGCUGCGAUCGGUAGCCGGUCUGAGAGGAUGAUCGGCCACACUGGGACUGAGACACGGCCCAGACUCCUACGGGAGGCAGCAGUGGGGAAUCUUGGACAAUGGGGGCAACCCUGAUCCAGCGACGCCGCGUGGGUGAUGAAGGCCUUCGGGUUGUAAACCUCUUUCAGCAGGGAUGAAGCGAAAGUGACAGUACCUGCAGAAGAAGCACCGGCUAACUACGUGCCAGCAGCCGC
rnacentral:rRNA from 1 species